rnacentral:rRNA from 1 species
UACGAGGGGGGCAAGCGUUGUUCGGAUUCAUUGGGCGUAAAGGGUGCGUAGGUGGCGCCGUAAGUCAGGUGUGAAAUCUCGGGGCUUAACUCCGAAACUGCAUUUGAUACUGCGGUGCUUGAGGACUGGAGAGGAGACUGGAAUUUACGGUGUAGCAGUGAAAUGCGUAGAGAUCGUAAGGAAGACCAGUGGCGAAGGCGGGUCUCUGGACAGUUCCUGACACUGAGGCACGAAGGCCAGGGGAGCAAACGGG